UAACGCGUGAAGUUGACCGCCUGGGGAGUACGGUCGCAAGAUUAAAACUCAAAGGAAUUGACGGGGACCCGCACAAGCGGUGGAUGAUGUGGAUUAAUUCGAUGCAACGCGAAAAACCUUACCUACCCUUGACAUGUCUGGAAUGCCGAAGAGAUUUGGCAGUGCUCGCAAGAGAACCAGAACACAGGUGCUGCAUGGCUGUCGUCAGCUCGUGUCGUGAGAUGUUGGGUUAAGUCCCGCAACGAGCGCAACCCUUGUCAUUAGUUGCUACGCAAGAGCACUCUAAUGAGACUGCCGGUGACAAACCGGAGGAAGGUGGGGAUGACGUCAAGUCCUCAUGGCCCUUAUGGGUAGGGCUUCACACGUCAUACAAUGGUCGGGACAGAGGGUCGCCAACCCGCGAGGGGGAGCCAAUCUCAGAAACCCGAUCGUAGUCCGGAUCGCAGUCUGCAACUCGACUACGUGAAGUCGGAAUCGCUAGUAAUCGCGGAUCAGAAUGUCGCGGUGAAUACGUUCCCGGGUCUUGUACACACCGCCCGUCACACCAUGGGAGUGGGUUUCACCAGAAGUAGGUAGCCUAACCGCAAGGAGGGCGCUUACCACGGUGGGAUUCAUGACUGGGGUGAAGUCGU
rnacentral:rRNA from 1 species